CGCCUUGCCAGCCCGCUCAGAAACUACAAAGGAAUUGACGGGGCCCGCACAAGCGGAGGAACAUGUGGUUUAAUUCGAUGAUACGCGAGGAACCUUACCUGGGCUAGAACGCAUUCGGAAUCAGGCCGAAAGGCCUGCGCCAGCGAUGGCCGCUUGCGAGGUGCUGCAUGGUUGUCGUCAGCUCGUGCCGUGAGGUGUCGGGUUAAGUCCCAUAACGAGCGCAACCCCUACUGCUAGUUGCCAGCGGGUCAUGCCGGGGACUCUAGCGGAACUGCCAGCGUAAGCUGCGAGGAAGGUGGGGAUGACGUCAAAUCAGCACGGCCCUUACGUCCAGGGCUACACACGUGUUACAAUGGCCGGUACAGAGGGCAGCCACCCCGCGAGGGGGCGCGAAUCCCGAAAGCCGGUCCCAGUUCGGAUCGGAGUCUGCAACCCGACUCCGUGAAGCUGGAUUCGCUAGUAAUCGCGCAUCAGCCACGGCGCGGUGAAUACGUUCCCGGGCCUU
rnacentral:rRNA from 1 species